UGUAAAUAAGUCCAUAACUAAAACCGUAUACACCAAUUUAUAUGGGAAAUGCGGUAUUCGAUUGGACGAUAUUAAGCUUGGUUAACUAUUCCUCUUAAGGAUAUCGGUUCAAAGAUAUAGUCCUUAAUAAAGUAAAACCAACAUAUUUUGAAU